UCCUCGAUAGCUCAGCCGGUUAGAGCACCUGACUGUUAAUCAGGGGGUCGCUGGUUCGAGUCCAGCUCGGGGAGCCA
rnacentral:tRNA from 1 species